AAUAACUAGGCUCCAAUUUCCAAGUGUUUCUGCAUGAAAAUAACGAUGAAAAUGUUCAGGACAUUGGUGAUAGACGAUUAAAAAGUGCAGAGAGGAAAAAAAAUGAAAAAACAAACAUAAAAGCGCAUAUCAGUAGCCAAAUGAUCUGCAGCUUUCCCAUUCCAACAAACUGAUGUAUAAUCUGUCAACCAGUUGCCGAGGACAUCUAAAAACUCGAUUGUGCUAAGAAGAGAUAAACGAUAUUGAGUUGAUGGAAACAGUCAAGCCUUUUCAUAUAACAUCAACUAAAUUUCCAGCAAAGAUGAAAUUGAGUUCAUGGAAACUUCAACCGCUGGUUUUCUACGAAUAGCUGUUGGCCUGUUGAUCUGUUCCCUCCUGUCAGCCAUGCCCUUCAGCUCCACAGUGCAUUCGUUGAACAUAAUCAACAAGAGCUAAACGCUUUCUUGAUUCCCUGAAUUUGCAAUAAGCCUGCAUUUAAAAAAAAAUUAGUUAGUAACAUGAGUUUUGUUUGUCCUUUAAGUAAUUGGAGAGUUUGAAACUUUGAAUACAUAAAAAUAAACAAACAUGAGUUAAUUUUCAGCCUAAUAGUUAAGCAGCAUUUCCACAAACCUGAAACACAAAGUCACACUUUAUUUAGAUUCUCAAUGCAAAUGCAUACUACUUUCCGAGUAGAUUUUAUAAGAAAAAAAUCGCUACACGAAAUUAUUUUUAAUCAAAAUCAAAAAGAAAAAAUACCUUACUUCAAAGUUAAAGCAUCAGCAUCAGUGGUUGU
rnacentral:lncRNA from 1 species